UCCAUUAUCGAGAGCCUUUACGUGAAAAUUGUUU
rnacentral:sRNA from 1 species